rnacentral:rRNA from 1 species
CAGCAGCCGCGGGAAUACGUAGGGUGCGAGCGUUAAUCGGAAUUACUGGGCGUAAAGCGUGCGCAGGCGGUUGUGUAAGACAGGUGUGAAAUCCCCGGGCUUAACCUGGGAACUGCGCUUGUGACUGCACAGCUAGAGUAUGGCAGAGGGGGGUGGAAUUCCACGUGUAACAGUGAAAUGCGUAGAGAUGUGGAGGAACACCGAUGGCGAAGGCAGCCCCCUGGGCCAAUACUGACGCUCAUGCACGAAAGCGUGGGGAGCAAACAGGAUUAGAUACCCCUGUAGUCCCUGUCUCUUAUAA